GCCUGCGUGGCCUAAUGGAUAAGGUGUCUGCCUCCUAAGUAGAAGAGUGUGGGUUCGAGACCCACCGUGGGAG